UCCCCUAGUAACUGCGAGUGAAGCGGGAAGAGCUCAAAUUUUGAAUCUGGCGGUCUUUGGCCGUCCGAGUUGUAAUCUAGAGAAGUGUCUUCCGCGCUGGGCCGUGUACAAGUCUCCUGGAAGGGAGCGUCAUAGAGGGUGAGAAUCCCGUCUUUGACACGGACUACCAGUGCUAUGUGAUGCACUCUCAACGAGUCGAGUUGUUUGGGAAUGCAGCUCAAAAUGGGUGGUAAAUUCCAUCUAAAGCUAAAUACAGGCGAGAGACCGAUAGCGAACAAGUACCGUGAGGGAAAGAUGAAAAGAACUUUGGAAAGAGAGUUAAACAGUACGUGAAAUUGCUGAAAGGGAAACGCUUGAUGUCAGUCGCGUCGGCCAGGGAUCAACCUUGCGUUCUCGCUGGGUGCAUUUCCUGGUCGAUGGGUCAGCAUCAGUUUCGAUCGCCGUAGAAUGGCGAAGGGAAUGUGGCACUCUUCCGAGUGUGUUAUAGCCUUUCGUCGUAUGCCGCGGUCGGGACUGAGGAACUCGGCACGACUUCCGUCUGUGUCUAGGAUGCUGGCAUAAUGNCCUUAAGCGACCCGUCUUGAAACACGG
rnacentral:rRNA from 1 species